rnacentral:rRNA from 1 species
CGGUUAUACCAAGUGAUUAAGUUAUAUUUCUAGGUAAAAAGACAGUUAAAUUUAUAAAGUAAUUUCAGUUCGUUAAACGUCUAUAAAAAAGUAAAAUUUGCAUAUAGACAGCUAAUUUAAUGAUAACUAAGUGAUAUUGAAGCUGUGAUAAUCUUGAGGGAAACUGGGAUUAGAUACCCCAUUAUUCUUGAUUGUAAAUAUAAUUAAAUUUACCAGAGUACUAUGAAUAGUUAAAAAUUUAAAACUCAAAGGGCUUGGCGGUGUUUUAGACCCAUCAGGGGAACCUGUCUCGUAAUCGACAAUCCACGUAAUAUCUAACCUUGUUUUGUAGUCAGUUUGUAUACCGUCGUCGUCAGGUAACUUUUAAAAACAUAGAAGUUAGCAAUUAAAAUUAUUUUGAAUUAAGACGUCAGAUCAAGGUGCAGCCUAUAGUAAGGAGAGGAUGGGUUACAAUUAUAAGAAUUAUAAUUACGGAAACUUAAAUGGAACUUAUUUUGAAGGAGGACUUGAAAGUAAACUAAAAUACAUAAAUAGCUUGAAUAAGGCUCUG